rnacentral:rRNA from 1 species
AUUGAACGCUGGCGGCAGGCUUAACACAUGCAAGUCGAGCGGAGCGAGGGUGCUUGCACCUUAGCUUAGCGGCGGACGGGUGAGUAAUGCUUAGGAAUCUGCCUAUUAGUGGGGGACAACAUUCCGAAAGGAAUGCUAAUACCGCAUACGCCCUACGGGGGAAAGCAGGGGAUCUUCGGACCUUGCGCUAAUAGAUGAGCCUAAGUCGGAUUAGCUAGUUGGUGGGGUAAAGGCCUACCAAGGCGACGAUCUGUAGCGGGUCUGAAAGGAUGAUCCGCCACACUGGGACUGAGACACGGCCCAGACUCCUACGGGAGGCAGCAGUGGGGAAUAUUGGACAAUGGGCGGAAGCCUGAUCCAGCCAUGCCGCGUGUGUGAAGAAGGCCUUUUGGUUGUAAAGCACUUUAGGCGAGGAGGAGGCUACUUAGAUUAAUACUCUGGGAUAGUGGACGUUACUCGCAGAAUAAGCACCGGCUAACUCUGUGCCAGCAGCCGCAGUAA